AUGGUGAUAGUGACGCUGAAAUCCAGAGAUACUGUGAAGUUCCAGGUUGGACAACAGCAUUUGGACCCUUUUUAUAGCUUAUUAUCUCAGGUUCUGGACAAGCUUAUGCACAGGUUUGGAACAGAUUUUGCAGGGCUGGACAAGUUUGGGAGCAACACGUUGGAUUAUUGUGUUUGGAGUUUUAUGGACAGCAAAAUGAAGUUUUAUGCAUGCUAUUUUUUGCAGUUUUGGACAGCAGAUUUGGACUGUUAA